GCAAUAGAAUUUUGGUGUUAAUGCAUGUUAGAGACAUAGUAUAAUGGACUAUGCUCAUGAAACAUACCACACACAAAAAGAAUAUGCAAAAGAGGUGGCCUAAUCUCAUCCAUACUUAUGUUGAUUUUGCAAUCAACUAGCCUUAGGAUUUAGAGAUGUCAUAGGCCAAAUGAAAUGGAUGCAUAAAGAAGGGGAAUUAGAUGAAGAGGGAGGGGAAUCUUCAAAGCCCGG
rnacentral:lncRNA from 1 species